rnacentral:rRNA from 1 species
CCUACGGGUGGCAGCAGUAAGGAAUAUUGGGCAAUGGACGAGAGUCUGAACGAGCAAAGUCGCGUGAAUGAUGACUGCCCUAUGGGUGGUAAACUUCUUUUAUAUGGGAGUAAAAUGGUCCAAGUAUGGGAUUUUGUAUUUACCAUAUGAAUAAAGAUCGGCUAACUCCAUGCCAGCCGCCGCGGUAAUACGAAGGAUGCGAGCGUUAUCCGGAUUUAUUGGGUUUAAGGGGAGCGUAGGUGGAUUGUUAAGUCAGUUGUGAAAGUCUGCGGCUCAACCGUAAAAUUGCAGUGGAAACUGGCAGUCUUGAGUACAGUAGAGGUGGGCGGAAUUCGGGGUGUAGCGGUGAAAUGCGCAGAGA